UGCUUUAACAUAAGAAGUCCAGCCUGCCCAGUGACACAAUUAAACGGCCGCGGUACCCUGACCGUKCGAAGGUAGCAUAAUAACUUGUYYUUUAAAUGGGGAYUAGCAUGAASGGCACCACGAAGGCCUCACUGUSUCCUUUUUYUWAUCAKUGAAACUGAUCUCCCCGUGAAGAAGCGGGGAUAAUAAUAUAARACRAGAAGACCCCAKGGAGCUUUAAACCCAGCAAGCAACCCUMAUCUACACWACCCAUYUAAAUUAUUUCCUCCCCUGCUUCCUGGUUUUARGUUGGGGUGACCGCKGAGUAAAACACAUCCUCCWUGACGUACRAGAUUAACCCUUAUCCWMGAACUACUCCUCUAAGAAUCGAUMAAUCGACGUUUUAUGAUCCMAUAUAUUGAUCAACGAACCAAGUUACCCUGGGGAUAACAGCGCAAUCCAUUUUAAGAGCCCCUAUCGACGAAUGGGUUUACGACCUCGAUGUUGGAUCAGGGUACCCAAGUGGUGCAGCCGCUA
rnacentral:rRNA from 1 species